CCGCGAUAGGCCAAGAUUUCUGGAAUGGAUUUUGGCUGAAAUCUACAUGGCCGCUGGAUUGGACUACGGCCGAUCAGGCUGUUGGUGAGGUAAUGGCCCACCAAACCUGUAACCGGUACGGGCUUUGAGAGAAGGAGCCCGGAGAUGGGCACUGAGACAAGGGCCCAGGCCCUAUGGGGCGCAGCAGGCGCGAAACCUCUGCAAUAGGCGAAAGCUUGACAGGGUUACUCUGAGUGAUGCCCGCUAAGGGCAUCUUUUGGCACCUCUAAAAAUGGUGCAGAAUAAGGGGUGGGCAAGUCUGGUGUCAGCCGCCGCGGUAAUACCAGCACCCCGAGUGGUCGGGACGAUUAUUGGGCCUAAAGCAUCCGUAGCCGGUUCUGCAAGUCUUCCGUUAAAUCCACCUGCUCAACAGAUGGGCUGCGGAGGAUACUACAGGGCUAGGAGGCGGGAGAGGCAAGCGGUACUCAGUGGGUAGGGGUAAAAUCCUCUGAUCCACUGAAGACCACCAGUGGCGAAGGCGGCUUGCCAGAACGCGCUCGACGGUGAGGGAUGAAAGCUGGGGGAGCAAACCGGAUUAGAUACCCGGGUAGUCCCAGCUGUAAACGAUGCAGACUCGGUGAUGCAUUGGCUUGUGGCCAAUGCAGUGCCGCAGGGAAGCCGUUAAGUCUGCCGCCUGGGAAGUACGUACGCAAGUAUGAAACUUAAAGGAAUUGGCGGGGGAGCACCACAAGGGGUGAAGCCUGCGGUUCAAUUGGAUUCAACGCCGGAAAUCACUAGUGCGGCCGCCUGCAGGUCGACCAUAUGGGAGAGCUCCCAACGCGUUGGAUGCAUAGCUUGAGUAUUCUAUA
rnacentral:rRNA from 1 species